GACGAACGCUGGCGGCGUGCUUAACACAUGCAAGUCGAACGAUGAACCCGGAGCUUGCUCCGGCGGAUUAGUGGCGAACGGGUGAGUAACACGUGAGUAACCUGCCCUUGACUCUGGGAUAACUGCUAGAAAUGGUAGCUAAUACCGGAUACGACCCUCGGUGGCAUCACCAGGGGGUGGAAAGAAUUUCGGUCAAGGAUGGACUCGCGGCCUAUCAGCUAGUUGGUGAGGUAACGGCUCACCAAGGCGACGACGGGUAGCCGGCCUGAGAGGGUGACCGGGCACACUGGGACUGAGACACGGCCCAGCCUCCUACGGGGGGCAGCAGUGGGGAAUAUUGCAGAAUGGGCGCAAGCCUGAUGCAGCAACGCCGCGUGAGGGAUGACGGCCUUCGGGUUGUAAACCUCUUUUAGUAGGGAAGAAGCGAAAGUGACGGUACCUGCAGAAAAAGCACCGGCUAACUACGUGCCAGCCGCCGCAGUAA
rnacentral:rRNA from 1 species